rnacentral:rRNA from 1 species
UACGGAGGGUGCGAGCGUUAUUCGGAAUCACUGGGCGUAAAGGGCGCGUAGGCGGCCGCGCAAGUCUGGUGUGAAAGCCCAGGGCUUAACCCUGGAAGGGCACUGGAAACUGUGCGGCUUGAGUGCCGGAGAGGAGGGGGGAAUUCCCGGUGUAGCGGUGAAAUGCGUAGAUAUCGGGAGGAAUACCAGUGGCGAAGGCGAAAGCGGGUUCCUGGGCCUGUACUGACGCUCAUGCACGAAAGCGUGGGGAGCAAACAGG